rnacentral:miRNA from 1 species
ACCCUGAAGAUCCGAAUUUGU